GAUGAACGCUGGCGGCGUGCCUAAUACAUGCAAGUCGAGCGAACAGAUGAGGAGCUUGCUCCUCUGACGUUAGCGGCGGACGGGUGAGUAACACGUGGAUAACCUACCUAUAAGACUGGGAUAACUUCGGGAAACCGGAGCUAAUACCGGAUAAUAUAUUGAACCGCAUGGUUCAAUAGUGAAAGACGGUUUUGCUGUCACUUAUAGAUGGAUCCGCGCCGCAUUAGCUAGUUGGUAAGGUAACGGCUUACCAAGGCAACGAUGCGUAGCCGACCGGAGAGAGUGAUCGGCCACACUGGAACGGAGACACGGUCCAGACUCCUACGGGAGGCAGCAGUAGGGAAUCUUCCGCAAUGGGCGAAAGCCUGACGGAGCAACGCCGCGUGAGUGAUGAAGGUCUUCGGAUCGUAAAACUCUGUUAUUAGGGAAGAACAAAUGUGUAAGUAACUAUGCACGUCUUGACGGUACCUAAUCAGAAAGCCACGGCUAACUACGUG
rnacentral:rRNA from 1 species